GCCAGUAGCUUGGGCGAAGGAACAAGGAUGCAAGGCGGAUGGAGGUCUGGGGUUCGAGCUUCAUCUCACGCACGCAAGGUUGGGAUUUUUGCUGCAUGCGUGGGGAAGGUGUUGGGGUCUGAUCAGGACUCUUGGCAGCAUGCUCUGAGGUGGUGCAAACGGUGGGCUGAUCGGUCAAGAGUUUGAAUGGAAUUCAAACAUUGAAUGUGGCCAAAAAUCAAGGAGCAAUUCGGGGAAUUGGGGAAUUGGAAUUUAGGAAGAAUUCUUAGGCUGAAAUACACACUAGGCCUGUAACAUCCC
rnacentral:lncRNA from 1 species